rnacentral:rRNA from 1 species
AAUAUUGCGCAAUGGGGGAAACCCUGACGCAGCAACGCCGCGUGAGCGACGAAGGCCUUCGGGUCGUAAAGCUCUGCCAAUAAGGACGAAGUCUACUAAGUAAAUAGCUUAUUAGGUGACGGUACCAAUAAAGGGAGCCCCAGCUAACUACGUGCCAGCAGCCGCGGUAAUACGUAGGGCGCGAGCGUGGUCAGGCAUUACUGGGCGUAAAGCGCGGGCAGGUGGCUUUCUAAGUCAGGUGUCAAAAUGCGGGGCUCAACCCCGUACCGCACGUGAAACUGGCAGGCUUGAGUGCAGGAGAGGGAAGUGGAAUUCCUAGUGUAGCGGUGAAAUGCGUAGAUAUUAGGAGGAACACCAGUGGCGAAGGCGACUUCCUGGACUGUAACUGACACUGAGGCGCGAAAGCUAGGGGAGCAAAC